CAGGCUGAUUCAAAGAGAAGGACAGUUCAGGAGUCAAGAAAAUGUUCCAGGUGACAGCGAGAGCCAUGUAGGGUUUGCAGCAGUGGGUGACAGCAAAGUGCGGACUCAGACACACACAGACCCGACUGACUUCAACAAUAAUAUCUUCAGAACUGUCAACAAGCAUGAUUAUUUCUGGCUUGAAUUUACAUCUCAGUUGAGCGAAGGAAGAAAGAAGUGAGGGGCUUGUAAUAAUGGCUUUCUCAUGCUAAGUUACAGACCUGCUUUGGUCUUGCCCACAUUUUGAAGUUACAUGGACCUGUUUCUCUACUAUGAAGUCUCAGGGUUCAAGAUCGCUUCCUAAGAUGGUCGACAACAGCCUGCAACACCUCCUUCCUAAGAUGGUCUACAACAGCCUACAAUACCUCCAGUUCUGGGGUAUCUAAUGCCACUUUCUGGUUUUCACUUUUAUUUUCACACAAGUGGAACAUGCACACAUAUGCAAAAUGAAAAUAAAUCUUAAAAAGGGAGAAUGACACCUGACACCAGAGGAGAAUUUACCAAGAAUGAAAGACCAUGCUGUAUGUUGUAGGGGAAUUAGAAAU
rnacentral:lncRNA from 1 species